GUGGGGAAUAUUGGACAAUGGGGGGAACCCUGAUCCAGCCAUGCCGCGUGUGUGUAGAAGGCCUUUUGGUUGUAAAGCACUUUAAGCGAGGAGGAGGCUACCGAGAUUAAUACUCUUGGAUAGUGGACGUUACUCGCAGAAUAAGCACCGGCUAACUCUGUGCCAGCAGCCGCGGUAAUACAGAGGGUGCAAGCGUUAAUCGGAUUUACUGGCCGUAAAGCGCGCGUAUGUGGCCAAUUGAGUCAAAUGUGAAAUCCCCGAGCUUAACUUGGGAAUUGCAUUCGAUACUGGUUGGCUAGAGUAUGGGAGAGGAUGGUAGAAUUCCAGGUGUAGCGGUGAAAUGCGUAGAGAUCUGGAGGAAUACCGAUGGCGAAGGCAGCCAUCUGGCCUAAUACUGACACUGAGGUGCGAAAGCAUGGGGAGCAAACAGGAUUAGAUACCCCAGUAGUCC
rnacentral:rRNA from 1 species